GACGAACGCUGGCGGCGUGCUUAACACAUGCAAGUCGAACGGAAAGACCCUGCUUUUGUGGGGUGCUCGAGUGGCGAACGGGUGAGUAACACGUGAGUAACCUGCCCUUGACUUUGGGAUAACUUCAGGAAACUGGGGCUAAUACCGGAUAGGAGCUCCUGCUGCAUGGUGGGGGUUGGAAAGUUUCGGCGGUUGGGGAUGGACUCGCGGCUUAUCAGCUUGUUGGUGGGGUAGUGGCUUACCAAGGCUUUGACGGGAAGCCGGCCUGAGAGGGUGACCGGCCACAUUGGGAUGGAGAGACGCCCGAGAGUCGUGCGGGGGGGAGCAGGGGGAAGUAUGCCACAGGGGGCGCAGGCAUAACGCAGCGGCCCGGGGUGGGGGAUGAGGGCCUUGGGGUAAAAAACCGCUUGCGCUGGGGACGAAGGGGGAGGGGGGGUAAGGAGAAAAGAAGCCCCGGCAAACUCGGGG
rnacentral:rRNA from 1 species